GAGUUUGAUCCUGGCUCAGGAUGAACGCUGGCGGCGUGCCUAACACAUGCAAGUCGAACGAAGCGUGCGGAUGGAAUUUCUUCGGAGAGGAAGCCUGCAUGACUGAGUGGCGGACGGGUGAGUAACGCGUGGGCAACCUGCCCUGCACAGGGGGACAACAGCCGGAAACGGCUGCUAAUACCGCAUAAGCGCACAGCUUCGCAUGGAGCGGUGUGAAAAGCUGCGGCGGUGCAGGAUGGGCCCGCGUCUGAUUAGCUGGUUGGCGGGGCAACGGCCCACCAAGGCGACGAUCAGUAGCCGGCCUGAGAGGGUGGACGGCCACAUUGGGACUGAGACACGGCCCAGACUCCUACGGGAGGCAGCAGUGGGGAAUAUUGCACAAUGGGGGAAACCCUGAUGCAGCGACGCCGCGUGAGCGAAGAAGUAUUUCGGUAUGUAAAGCUCUAUCAGCAGGGAAGAAAUUGACGGUACCUGAGUAAGAAGCUCCGGCUAAAUACGUGCCAGCAGCCGCGGUAAUACGUAUGGAGCAAGCGUUAUCCGGAUUUACUGGGUGUAAAGGGAGCGUAGGCGGCCUGCCAAGUCUGAUGUGAAAUACCGGGGCUCAACCCCGGGGCUGCAUUGGAAACUGGCAGGCUGGAGUGUCGGAGAGGCAGGCGGAA
rnacentral:rRNA from 1 species